UACGUAGGGUGCGAGCGUUGUCCGGAAUUAUUGGGCGUAAAGGGCGCGUAGGCGGCCAUGCGUGUCUUCCGUGAAAUCCCUCGGCUUAACUGAGGACGUGCGGAAGAAACUGCAAGGCUCGAGUCCGGGAGAGGGGGGUGGAAUUCCCAGUGUAGCGGUGAAAUGCGUAGAUAUUGGGAGGAACACCGGUGGCGAAGGCGGCCCCCUGGACCGUAACUGACGCUGAGACACGAAAGCGUGGGUAGCAAACAGG
rnacentral:rRNA from 1 species